rnacentral:rRNA from 1 species
UCUUCCGCAAUGGACGGAAGUCUGACGGAGCGACGCCGCUUGGAGGAGGAAGCCCUUCGGGGUGUAAACUCCUGAACUGGGGACGAAAGCCCCGUGUAGGGGGAUGACGGUACCCAGGUAAUAGCGCCGGCCAACUCCGUGCCAGCAGCCGCGGUAAUACGGAGGGCGCGAGCGUUACCCGGAUUUACUGGGCGUAAAGGGCGUGUAGGCGGCCUGGGGCGUCCCAUGUGAAAGGCCACGGCUCAACCGUGGAGGAGCGUGGGAUACGCUCAGGCUAGAGGGUGGGAGAGGGUGGUGGAAUUCCCGGAGUAGCGGUGAAAUGCGCAGAUACCGGGAGGAACGCCGAUGGCGAAGGCAGCCACCAGGUCCACUCGACGUAGGCGGAAAG